AUGUUUCCUGGUAUUGUUAAGAUUACUGUCAGUGUCAUUUCAACCUUAUUGAUGUCUAUCUACAAUAGCCCCUGGCCUGUGGCCUACCCAGUACCAUUAUGUAUGGUGUACCUAUUCAAUAAUCUUCCUAUGUCAUUCACAGAUGGAGUGCCCAGCUCCCGAGGGGUUAAGCAAAGCUUCCAGACACAGCUGCCUACCAGUCACAUGAUCAGGCCCAUCUCUACCAUCCAUAGAGCAAGCCCACGAUCCAAUGUGACAAUGAUGUCCGCAUCACCAAUCUGGACUCAAAAUCGGGUAACCCUGAAAGAAACACCUGAGAGUUGUCGAAAGACAGAAGAGCAUAUCGACUUUGGGGUAGGGUCCAACUACCAGGUAAGUUGUUCAACGCCUUACCCCAAAGUACCACAGGACGGAAUUUCAGUCGACCACUUCAGACCCCAAGAUGUCCAUAAAGAAGUCAACUAUGCUGAGCCUCUCUCACCUCCCACUGAAGAGGCAGGAGCUGAUGUUGUAUCUUUGCUUGGAUCUGACCACAAGGAACAAUCCAUGUGGGAUAUGGAAAAGGAGGAAGAGGAUCAGAACAUAGUCAGAACCUGGUUUGCUGAAGAGAAACCCGUUCUGGAAUCUGCCAUGAGUCACCGGGUCGAGACCAGCUUCAGUAUGCCAACUGUGUUCAGCACUGAUGCUCAAGAGCUCUACAGCCCUUCAGUGAGCUAUGAGAGAGCAGGUUCGGUGACAGGGGCACAUUCUGCUUUCUCAGCGAAUGAUGAUAAUGAUGUACCUUUUGAAAUAUCUUUUGAAAAAGAGGAACCUCUACUAGAUAUGCCUUACGGUCCCAUGAAUGCAUCAAAGGAAAGAGAUCUUGAAACAACAAAGAAAGAUGCUGAAUGGGCGGGAAAUGAAGGCUUGGAAUCUGAAACUGCAUCAGUGCUAGAACAAGCAUUUGAGACCUUCACAAGCAGUCAAGCUUUUGAGUAUGGGGCGGGGAAAAGUUACAACAAGUCAAUAGAGCUCAACCAAGAGGACAAUAUGUCAUAUGAAUCUACUCAAGCCUCCCACGGUUCAGAAGAGGCAUUUCGCCAUGUUAAAAGACUGGAGGAAGAUGUUAUUCAUCUCCCAAAAGAGGAUGAAAAUGAUAUGUCUAACAAACAUGAGGAGCAAUUGGAAGAUGAAUUGCACCCCUAUGGGUAUGGUAAGGAUGAUCGUGAAAGAUUAGGAGGAUUCAUUAAGGAAAAUGAUAUGACAGAAAGAAUCGAUAAGUUCAACCAAGAGGAGAUGAUCUCAUCUGAAUCUGCUCAAGCUUCUCACAGGUCAGAAGAGGUAUUUCACCAUGUUGAAAGAGUGGAGGAAGGUGACAUAAAUUUCACAAAAGUGGAUGAUGAAAAUGAUAUGUCUAACAAACGUGAGGAACAACAUGCACUGAACCCCAAUGGGGAUGUAAAGGAUGAAUGGGAUAGAGUGAGAGGGUACAAUGAAGAGAAUGGAAUUGGAGAAAGAAUGGAUGAUUGGAAAGACGGAAAGUAUCAUAUGAAAGAGGAAGAGAUGUGGAAUAACAGAGAAGCCCAACCCAAUCGGUCUGAUCAAGAAUAUAUACCUUCAAAUGAAGAGAAACUAAAUCAAUUCGAGCAAGAGCAAAUACCUUCAGGCAGAGAGAAACUGAAUCAGUCUGAGACAGAGCAAAUACAUUCAGGCAGAGAGAAACUGAAUCAGUCUGAGACAGAGCAUAUACCUUCAGGCAGAGAGAAACUGAAUCAGUCUGAGCAAGAGCAAAUACCUUCAGGCGGAGAGAAACUGAAUCAGUCUGAGACAGAGCAAAUACCUUCAGGCAGAGAGAAACUGAAUCAGUCUGAGCAAGAGCAAAUACCUUCAGGCAGAGAGAAACUGAAUCAGUCUGAGCAAAGGUAUAUCAAUUCAAACGGAGAGAAACUGAAUCAGUCUGAACAAGAGCAAAUACCUUCAGGCAGAGAGAAACUGAAUCAGUCUGAGCAAAGGUAUAUCAAUUCAAACGGAGAGAAACUGAAUCAGUCUGAACAAGAGCAAAUACCUUCAGGCAGAGAGAAACUGAAUCAGUCUGAGCAAAGGUAUAUCAAUUCAAACGGAGAGAAACUGAAUCAGUCUGAGCAAGAGCAUAUACCUUCAGGCGGAGAGAAACUAAAUAUAUCCGACAAUGACAAAGAGGAUCAUGAUGAGGCAAACUACUGUCAAAAUAAUUCUGUAUCAUGGAGGGCUGAGCUAGAAGGCGACAGCUAUGCUCAGGACAACACACUAGCCGACACACACCCCUUGAUCCGUUACAAGAGUGACGAGACAGAUGUCAACACUCAGGCUUCACACAUGGGCGAGAGUGACUCCAGUGAUGGUGAAGAGGACAGGGAGGUUUGCCAGACAGGAACAGACACCUGGGGCGAAGGCAAGUCCAAACAGUUUGACACCAUGGAAUAUCUGUAUGAAGAGUCAGAAGGGGAUGUCAUAGAUCAGGAAAGUAACAUGGGCUCCACUCACCAAGAGGACAUGGAUGCUAGCCAAACAAAGGAGCAUGCUCCACAGGAGAACGAUGAGGAGAAUGCUGUAGAUCAGUUGAUUCAGGAGGCAGAAGAGGAGCAAUCCUAUGAGGAACUUACAGAACCUGGAGAGUACUCCAUGGUGUGCUCUGAUGAGGACUAUAAUGAAGAAAGAAUUGAUAGAUUGGUGGAGCAAGAGCUAGAGAAUUUAUCUAUAUCCAGUUACAGUGAACACUUUACUGGGCAGAUGAUUGAGAGCGAGUCAGUACUGAGUCUUCAAAUUGAGUCUCACACUGAACUUCCCCAGACACAAGACAUAUUAUACAGUGAGGAGGUAGUGCAGAUACACUCAGAGAGACUGAAUCAAUCUGAGCAAGAGUAUAUACCCUCAGGAGGAGAGAGACUGAAUCAACCUGAGCAAGAGUAUAUACACUCAGAGAGACUGAAUCAACCUGAGCAAGAGUAUAUACACUCAGAGAGACUGAAUCAAUCUGAACAAGAGUAUAUACCCUCAGAGAGACUGAAUCAACCUGAGCAAGAGUAUAUACCCUCAGAGAGACUGAAUCAACCUGAGCAAGAGUAUAUACCCUCAGAGAGACUGAAUCAACCUGAGCAAGAGUAUAUACCCUCAGAGAGACUGAAUCAACCUGAGCAAGAGUAUUUACCCUCAGAGAGACUGAAUCAACCUGAGCAAGUGUAUAUACCCUCAGAGAGACUGAAUCAACCUGAGCAAGAGUAUAUACCCUCAGAGAGACUGAAUCAACCUGAGCAAGAGUAUUUACCCUCAGAGAGACUGAAUCAACCUGAGCAAGUGUAUAUACCCUCAGGCGGUGAGAGACUGAAUCAAUCUGAACAAGAGUAUAUACCCUCAGGCGGAGAGAGACUGAAUCAAUCUGAACAAGAGUAUAUACCCUCAGGCGGAGAGAGACUGAAUCAAUCUGAACAAGAGUAUAUACCCUCAGGCGGAGAGAAACUGAAUCUAUCUGUGCAAGAACACAUACCAUCAGAUGGAGAGAAUCUGAAUCAAUCUGAACAAGAGAAGAUACCUUCAGGAGGAGAGAAACUGAAUCAAUCCGAGACAGAGGAUAUAACUUCAGGCGGAGAGAAACUGAAUCAAUCCGAGACAGAGGAUAUAACUUCAGGUGGAGAGAAUCUGAAUCAAUCUGAACAAGAGAAGAUACCUUCAGGAGGAGAGAAACUGAAUCAAUCCGAGACAGAGGAUAUAACUUCAGGCGGAGAGAAACUGAAUCAAUCCGAGACAGAGGAUAUAACUUCAGGUGGAGAGAAACUGAAUCAAUCCGAGACAGAGGAUAUAACUUCAGGUGGAGAGAAACUGAAUCAAUCCGAGACAGAGGAUAUAACUUCAGGUGGAGAGAAACUGAAUCAAUCUGAGCAAGAGUAUAUACCCUCAGGCGGAGAGAGACUGAAUCAACCUGAGCAAGAGUAUAUACACUCAGAGAGACUGAAUCAAUCUGAACAAGAGUAUAUACCCUCAGAGAGACUGAAUCAAUCUGAACAAGAGUAUAUACCCUCAGAAAGACUGAAUCAACCUGAGCAAGAGUAUAUACCCUCAGAGAGACUGAAUCAACCUGAGCAAGUGUAUAUACCCUCAGGCGGCGAGAAACUGAAUCAACCUGAUCAAGAGUAUAUACCCUCAGAGAGACUGAAUCAACCUGAACAAGAGUAUAUACCCUCAGGCGGAGAGAGACUGAAUCAAUCUGAACAAGAGUAUAUACCCUCAGGCGGAGAGAGACUGAAUCAAUCUGAACAAGAGUAUAUACCCUCAGGCGGAGAGAAACUGAAUCUAUCUGUGCAAGAACACAUACCCUCAGAUGGAGAGAAUCUGAAUCAAUCUGAACAAGAGAAGAUACCUUCAGGAGGAGAGAAACUGAAUCAAUCCGAGACAGAGGAUAUAACUUCAGGUGGAGAGAAACUGAAUCAAUCUGAGCAAGAGUAUAUACCCUCAGGCGGAGAGAAACUGAAUCAAUCCGAACCAGAGGAUAUAACUUCAGGUGGAGAGAAACUGAAUCAAUCCGAGACAGAGGAUAUAACUUCAGGUGGAGAGAAACUGAAUCAAUCCGAGACAGAGGAUAUAACUUCAGGUGGAGAGAAACUGAAUCAAUCCGAACCAGAGGAUAUACCUUCAGGUGGAGAGAAACUGAAUCAAUCCGAGACAGAGGAUAUACCUUCAGGCGGAGAGAAACUGAAUCAAUCCGAGACAGAGGAUAUAACUUCAGGUGGAGAGAAACUGAAUCAAUCCGAACCAGAGGAUAUACCUUCAGGUGCAGAGAAACUGAAUCAAUCCGAGACAGAGGAUAUACCUUCAGGCGGAGAGAAACUGAAUCAAUCCGAGACAGAGGAUAUAACUUCAGGUGGAGAGAAACUGAAUCAAUCCGAACCAGAGGAUAUACCUUCAGGCGGAGAGAAACUGGAUAUAUGUGAGCAAGAACAUAUACCCUCAGAUGGAGAGAAAAUGUAUCAAUCCGAGCCAGAGCAUUUAGCUUCAAUCAGAGAGAAACUGAAUCAAUCCGAGACAGAGGAUAUAACUUCAGGCGGAGAGAAACUGAAUCAAUCCGAGACAGAGGAUAUAACUUCAGGUGGAGAGAAACUGAAUCAAUCCGAGACAGAGGAUAUAACUUCAGGUGGAGAGAGACUGAAUCAAUCCGAACCAGAGGAUAUAACUUCAGGUGGAGAGAAACUGAAUCAAUCCGAGACAGAGGAUAUACCUUCAGGUGGAGAGAAACUGAAUCAAUCCGAGACAGAGGAUAUAACUUCAGGAGGAGAGAAACUGAAUCAAUCCGAGACAGAGGAUAUACCUUCAGGCGGAGAGAAACUGAAUCAAUCCGAGACAGAGGAUAUAACUUCAGGCGGAGAGAAACUGAAUCAAUCUGAGACAGAGGAUAUACCUUCAGGCGGAGAGACACUGGAUAUAUGUGAGCAAGAACAUAUACCCUCAGAUGGAGAGAAACUGAAUCAAUCUGAACAAGAGGAUAUAACUUCAGGCGGAGAGACACUGGAUAUAUGUGAGCAAGAACAUAUACCCUCAGAUGGAGAGAAAAUGAAUCAAUCUGAGUCCGAGUAUAUACCUUCAGGUGGAGAGAAACUGAAUCAGUCUGAGCAAGAGUGUAUACCUUCAGGUGCAGAGAAACGGAAUCAGUCUGAGCAAGAGCAUAUACCUUCAGGUGGAGAGAAACUGAAUCAGUCUGAGCAAGAGCAUAUACCUUCAGGUGCAGAGAAACUGAAUCAGUCUGAACAAGAGUGUAUUUCCUCAGAGGUUAUGUAUUCGGUGCACUCUAGGAUUCUAAUGACAUCUGAUCACACAUCUCUUAGAGAAGGUUCAGUAGAAAUAUCCAAAGAAGAAUAUUUGGCUCAAGGUAAGGUAUUCAGUGGGGGACUGGGAACUGAAGCUGUACCAGACAAAAUAGAAGGACAGGAUGACCAGAACCUUUAUAUGUCGACUCAUGCAGACUUCACUGAAAGCCAUUCUAUCUACAGCAGUUUAAACAGCAGGCCUGAGAGUCAAACCGACAUGAACAACUUGGAUAUAGAAGAGUCCAACAGCACAGAUGAUGAGUCACCAAAUGCAAGCCAGUAUUUGCAACCUGUCACCAAAGCAAAUCUAACUGCAGAUCAGGAAGACUUGUUAAAUGUGGCAGUCUCUCACUAUGAGGAUUGCAAUACUCUUAUUGAACAUUCUGCAGAAGAGGUCACUAGCUAUCAGGCAAGUAAUGAAUGUCUUCAGACAGAUGAAUGGGAAGUCUUAGAAAGUCCAAACAAACACCUGGAAUCUGGAGAUCCUUUUGCAGGUCACAAGAGAGACUCCGAGAGAUCAUCCAAAACUGACAGCGAAGGCCAGGACCUCCACAGCUUCCUCAGCUCUGGUGUACACAACAACUUCUGGGGUUCCAAUCUGGAGACAGGAGCCCCCUAUCAACCGGAUGAGACAUAUGACCAUGUGACCGAGCUACCCAAUCAGAACCUAGUCUUGGCUAACAACCUAUCCUGGGUGGAUUUGGAUAAUCCACAGGCAACUAAUUGGAACACAAAGAUGGACAGCGACACACCUGAAGCUUCCACCCUUGAAGAAGAGGACAAACAGAUGCCCUCACAGGUGAAGCAGCUGGUUUGUAAAGAUGUGGUAGAGGGUGUGAAUGUUACUUCUGAAGGUUCUGAAGAUGGAGACUCCUGGUCAUCUGGGGAAGAAUAG
ensembl:lncRNA